UACGAAGGGGGCUAGCGUUGUUCGGAAUUACUGGGCGUAAAGGGCGCGUAGGCGGUGUGUCAAGUCAGGCGUGAAAGCCCCGGGCUCAACCUGGGAACCGCGCUUGAGACUGGUGCGCUAGAGUCCGGGAGAGGAUGGUGGAAUUCCCGGUGUAGCGGUGAAAUGCGCAGAUAUCGGGAGGAACACCGGUGGCGAAGGCGGUUCUCUGGGCCUGUACUGACGCUGAGGAGCGAAAGCGUGGGGAGCGAACAGG
rnacentral:rRNA from 1 species